GGUGACUCAGUAAGUAGAGUGCCUGCUUUGCAUGCAUGAGGCCCUGGGUUCAAUUCCUCAGCACCA
rnacentral:tRNA from 1 species